AUAGUGAUCCGGUGGUUCUGAAUGGAAGGGCCAUCGCUCAACGGAUAAAAGGUACUCCGGGGAUAACAGGCUGAUACCGCCCAAGAGUUCAUAUCGACGGCGGUGUUUGGCACCUCGAUGUCGGCUCAUCACAUCCUGGGGCUGAAGUAGGUCCCAAGGGUAUGGCUGUUCGCCAUUUAAAGUGGUACGCGAGCUGGGUUUNACGUCGUGAGACAGUUCGGUCCCUAUCUGCCGUGGGCGCUGGAGAAUUGAGGGGGGCUGCUCCUAGUACGAGAGGACCGGAGUGGACGCAUCACUGGUGUUCGGGUUGUCAUGCCAAUGGCACUGCCCGGUAGCUAAAUGCGGAAGAGAUAAGUGCUGAAAGCAUCUAAGCACGAAACUUGCCCCGAGAUGAGUUCUCCCUGAGACUUUAAGUCUCCUGAAGGAACGUUAAAGACGAUGACGUUGAUAGGCCGGGUGUGUAAGCGCAGCGAUGCGUUGAGCUAACCGGUACUAAUGAACCGUGAGGCUUAACCUUACAACGCCGAAG
rnacentral:rRNA from 1 species